UGGGAUGACCAAUAGAAGAUAAACCCCAACAAUACAAUUAUUCCUUCCACAUACAUGAUGCAAGCAAAUUUCUCUUUCAGUUUCUGUAUAAAUACCCCUUCAUAUCCCUUCUUUCUCUUCAUUACAACAUCAUAUGAAACAUUUUCCAUAGUAAUGGAACAGUUUUUGGGUAGGGAGAAGAGAGGAAAUAACUAAGGGUUAAUUAAUUACUUGUCCCUCAUAAACACUUUCAAAAGCAAUAGUGAUGCUUUAGUUAAUUAUCAGCUUAAUUAGUGUGAUUAUUCAUCAAGUAAUGGAGAGUAUUAUGGUAUUGAGUUUUCGUCUUCGCUAAUUAACGGUAAAGGGUGGUGACAGAAGAGAGUGAGCACACAUGGUGUUUUCUUGUAUGGUGAUAUUUCAUACUUGAAGCUAUAUGUGCUCACUCUCUUGCUGUCACCCCGUAACCAUUUCUCACUAUCUUUUUUCAAUUUCUGCAAUAUAUAUAGAUAUACUAUUUUUUUUUUGGAUUUUAUUAUCUUCUUAUGCUUUAACUAACCCUAGCUAGCAACUUAUUAGGCUUAACUUAUGAAGCUCACAUCUCAGGUAACAGUCUUGCUGAUGAAAUAUAUACAUAGUCCCAUAUGAAUUGAUGAGUUGUGAUAGGAGCAAAGCUACAUCAAUGAAAUGAAAAUUAAUUAACAAUAAUAUGUAUCUUUCAUUUCAAAACAAGAAAGAAGUAUCAGGAAUGAAGGAUGUUGAAAGGGUUAUUAUAUGCAUAUCUAUCAUCUUCUUCAAUUUCUUGGAUAUAUGUGUCUGUAAGAACAACGUUGUUGUCUCUGAUCUGUCAAAAUUUAUUGUCAGAAUUUUAAUUCUUGAAAGAAAAAGAAAAUGGUGCAGCUUACUAUAUGUAUAUGUCAUAUGUCAUUCUAGCUGGAAUCAAAUAAAUUUGAGCAAAAUAUAUAUUUGCCAGAAA